rnacentral:lncRNA from 1 species
AAGAUUACGCUAUUUCUUGCCGUUUGACAAAGACCUCCUGCAAAACAUCCUUCCUUGAAGCCUAGCACUGAAAUGGAAGAUCCUGCUGUGAAAGGAGCAGUACAAAGAAAGAAUGUACAGACAUUGAGAGCAGAAAAAGCCUUACCAGUGGCUUCAGAGGAAGAGCAACAAAGGCGUGAAAGAAGUGAAAAGAAGCAACCACAGGUCAAAGAAGGAAAUAAUACAUACAAAAGUGAAAAAAUACAACUAUCAGAAAAUAUAUGUCAUAGUACAUCUUCUUCUGCUGCUGACAGAUUAACCCAACAAAGAAAGAUUGGGAAAACAUAACCUCAGCAAUUUCCCAAGAAACUGAAGGAAGAGCAUGAUAGAUGCACCUUAAAACAAGAAAAUGAAGAAAAAACAAAUGUUAAUAUGCUGUACAAAAAAAAAAAAGAGAAGAAUUAGAAAGGAAAGAGAAACAAUAUAAGAAAGAAGUUGAAGCAAAAUAAUUUGAACCAACUGUUCAAUCACUAGAGAUGAAACCGAAGACUGCAAGAAAUACUCCAAAUCAGGAUUUUCAUAAUCAUGAAGAAGUGAAAGAUCUGACGGAUGAAAAUUGCAUUUUGAAGACAGAUAUUGCUAUACCCAGACAGGAAAUAUGCACAAUGAAAAAUGACAACCUGGAAAAAGAAAA